CAUUAGAUGACUGAAAGCAAGUAAUGGUCUCUUAAACCACAUAAUAGUAAAUUAGUGAUUACUUCUAAUGG
rnacentral:tRNA from 1 species